rnacentral:rRNA from 1 species
CAGCAGCCGCGGUAAUACCGGCGGCCCGAGUGGCGGUCACUAUUAUUGGGCUUAAAGCGUCCGUAGCCGGGUUGGGAAGUCCUCCGGGGAAUCUGGCCGCUUAACGGUCAGAAUGCCGGAGGAUACUCCCAGCCUAGGGGGCGGGAGAGGCCGAGGGGAUUCCCGGAGGAGGGGUGAAAUCCUAUAAUCCCGGGAGGACCACCUGUGGCGAAGGCGCUCGGCUGGAACGCGUCCGACGGUGAGGGACGAAGGCCAGGGGAGCAAACCGGAUUAGAUACCCGGGUAGUCCUGGCUGUAAACGAUGCGGACUUUGUGUCGGACAAGCUAUGAGCUUGUCCGGUGCCGGAGGGAAACCGUUAAGUCCGCCGCCUGGGGAGUACGGCCGCAAGGCUGAAACUUAAAGGAAUUGGCGGG